CGGGGUUUCCCUCUCGGGGCGGGGGCCACGCCGGAUCAAUGGUGUGUGCUCGGGCAAUCCCGAAUGGGAGAUUCCGGAGUCGGUCCCGCUCGAGGCCCAAGGGGCCCGCGGGGGAGGGGCAGCGCCGCUCCGCCGGGCGCCCAGAAACCCGCACCCUGGCGGGAACCAUGUGGCUUGUUGUGGUUGGAGGCUUGAGGUGCGAGCAGAGACACGGGCUCAACUUGAAAUCGCGCCCUCGGAGGCACGGGAACAGUUGGCUGCGGAAGAGGGGAUGAGCAUCAGUCUCCGGGCACCCUCUGGCCCCGACUCUUAUUUCGAGGGGGACAGGGGAUGAAGAAUCCUUGGACAUAAACAUUUGAUUUUGCUGAACUGCGGUUUGGGUCGCAGCGUACGGGAAGAUUUGCACGAAGACUGUAUUUCUCCGUGACAGCAAAGGAGAGGGCGAAAAUAAGCUCUGAACUAAAAAUGAAGCAGUUAAUACAGUCGAACGUUAAUCUGCCGAUGUAAAAAGGGAGAAUCGGGAUGUCCCUCAGUUGAGAGCGUUCGUUUUGUUUUUUAAAAGAUACGUUCGUUUCAUAUGGUCAUUAAGCAGAGUUUGCUAACUUUAUCAAGAAGGUAGGAGUGAAUUUUGAAAUCCAAGGUAUGGUCUGCCCCUCUCUGCCCCCAGUAGUUGUAUUUAUAACGCUUUGAAGAGAAAGGAGACCGAUGUUGAUGGGAAGCAACAGAUUUUGGCCGUGACAGGAAAUAAUGCCAUUUUAGAAAAUUUAGCCUCAAAAGCAUU
rnacentral:lncRNA from 1 species